CCCGCCAUAGUUUAUACAAAACAUCGGCCUGCAAAAUCGAGAAAGGAACAAAAAAUUCCUGGUGUGUU
rnacentral:tRNA from 1 species